rnacentral:lncRNA from 1 species
GACUCCCCCAUCAGAACUCUACCAUCCUCACCCUUGAUGCACCUAACUUGGUCAAGAUCACGUGCCUUCCUUUCCCUUGCUUUAGCUAACUGGGAUAACAUCCUGUCCCCGCCUUUCUCCCCUAGUUCCUCAUACAUGCGACCAAAUGCCACAUUUUUAGCUUCCGUAACUGCCAGCUUUGCUUCUUUCCUCGCCACCUUGUAGAUCUCCCCGUUCNNN